rnacentral:lncRNA from 1 species
CUGUGAAGUGCCUGGUUCUCUGUGGCCACUGUGCCCUAUGAAUCCAGGGAUGAGGCUGGGGAUAGGAGAAGUCUGAGAUGCUUGUGUCUGCAAUGGAUAUAUAAAUCCACAUCCCAGAGCAAAUGAACAGUAGGAGGCAGACAGAAAUCUCCAUCAGCAAAAGCGCUGGGCUGCAGCAAGGGAAGAAGGAUGGAAGUUGCAACUGGAAAUAAUAAGGUACUCGAGAUAGGAGAAUAGUUUGGCUUUUCUCCUGGCAGGAUCCUGCACAAAUGGAGCAAAUUCAAGCAAGAACGUGUAAUAAAAGAGCCCAUGACACUCAGUCAGCCUGGGAUUGAGGGCUGUGCCCGUUCUGUAUCGCUGAUUGAGAAUUGCUGUGUGUCCCUCAGUUUCCUCAUCUGAAAAAUAGUGGAUGUGCUGCCAGGCUCAGCUUGAAACCCCUGUAAGAUGCAGAAAAUGUAAUUUAAGCACUCAGGUGAUUAUCAUCGGCUGUAACAAAGAAGAUCAACAGUAAAGGACGCUUGGCUUCAGCAGCCCAUGUUCUCUCAGCAAGCUCCAGAAGGAAGCCCUAUAGCCAGCAAGCCUAAAGCCAGCCUGGCCCAAAGCACCAAGGAGCCAUGGCUGGCUGUGCUGGACGCUUUGCCAUUUAAACCUCCGUAGCCUCGAAUGCCGCAGCAGGGCCAAAUGCCGAUGCAGAGCCAGACCUGCAGAACGGUGCAUGGGAGAAU